GGCAUGCCAGGUUGUGGAUGGGCAAGCCCGAGCUUCAGGGAAGAGAGGCUGUGUGCGCCCCGCCCCCCUUCCUGGGGAAUCUCAGCAGACAGGCCCUUAAUCUCAGGCAGGAAGCAGGGUCUGGUUACCAGGAGCUCCCAGGUGGGACCUGCCCUAGGAAAUGCCCAAUCUGACAGAGCAGCAGGACCCAGAAUGAAGAGAACAAGGAUUUGGCUGCAGACGGAGUCAAGUUUGGAAGAACUUUUAGAAGCCAGCUGUAGUUGUUAACUGCAACAGAGGAGCAGAGAAAGCUGGGACAUCUCCCCACUGGGUUUGAACCUGGGCACUGUUAUGGGGAGGGAUGUUUGCCCUGGAUCUGGAGCUGAACCUCAGCCUUCUAUGAGCAAUUGCCCCAGCCUUUUAAGUGAAUUCUUGGCCUGCAGGGGUCAUGAGGACAUGAAAGAAACCAAGAGUUGGUGAAUAGAGCUCAGACCUUUUCUGCAGACAGAAAGUCACAGGAUUAUGACCUGGCUUUGACAGCCCCCGUUGUGGGGCUUUCAAGGCAGCUGCUGAGCCUGGAGCCCAGCCCCUCCCCCACUCUCAGAACCAUAAGGAUGUGGAACAUGGGUUCUUCCUUUUUGAGGCCAAGCCUGGUUCCUGGGAUGCAGAAAUCACUAGGUGAAGACAUAGUGGGUCCCAAACCCCCAAGGCUUUGGAACGUCCACCUGCUGGGAGGGAAAAUUCAAGAGUUCCCAACACCUGCUCAGGGAUAGGCUGGCUGCUUUGUCACAAAGACAUCCUCUACUGGGGUGCCUGGAUGGCUCAGGGGGUGUAGCAUCCUCCUUUGGCUCAGGUCAUGAUCCCAAAGUCCCGGGAUCCAGCCCUCCCUCCAGCUCCCUCUCCCUCUGCUCCUCCCCCUGCUUGUGCUCUCUCUCUGUCUGAAACAAAUAAAUAAAAUCUUUUAGAAAGAAGCAGUUUAAAUAAACUCCAUGUCACAAGUCAACUGUGCCCACCUCCAUAUGCAUGUCUCCAGAAUCACCCUAAAACACCGAUGCCCCACGCAUCCCGUUGUCCAGUGCAACCCUGCAUGGUUGCGGUUCCUCGAGACAGUCUGCAAAACCUCCUGCUACCCAGGCUUUUCUCCCCGCCCCAGCCAGGGACAGCACAGACCAAGAGCAGAUG